CAUUCCUGUCAUGGUGCUUGGUUCCAUUCAAAGCUCCAUGUCUGUCUAACUCAGGGCGCCAGGGGCAUCUGGCAGAGCCUGGGGACACUUUUGGCUGCACCAGCUUAGGAGAGCGUGCAACUGAGCACCCAGCCGCAGAGGCCAGGGCCGCUGAUCAGCAUGGAUACCACAUAGCACAGCCCUGCCGCUGUCACCAGCAGAGACCUACCUGCCAGGUGUCACCAGGGAGCUGUUGAGAUCGCCUGAUCUGGGACCUUCCUGAGCAGCACCACCCAGAACUUUCAACCUGCCGUUUGAAAUAGAAAAAUGAAGCUGUGUGAGCCAAGGCCUGCCGUUUAGUCGCAGAUGAGUUCUAGGAAAAUCCCUGGAAUGUGCAUUGCCACCCCUUCUCCAGUGCUGAUCAGCUCAGGGAGCCCUGCGGGUAAUGUGAAGCUCCUCUUCUCACUGCUGUCUCACAGCCUCCAGGCGUGAGGAUGAAGACUCCAACUCAGGCGAGUUGGGCCCCUCACUAAGACCCUCCUGGUCCCACCGUGCUUUAAUAAUAAGUCAUUUUCUUGAGCAUUCGGUCUUUCCUUCGUUUAUUCUAACUUUUCCGCCAUGGCAGAGCAUGGCUUACAGUCCAGGCUACUUAGGAGGCUGAGGUGAGAGAAUCACUUGAGUCCAAGAGUUUGAGACCAGCCUGGGCCACACAGUAAGACCUCCUCUCAAUGACAACUUUCCCAUCUGUUCAUUCCUACUUUAAUGGACGUUCAUAUCCAUUUAGUCUUCUGUGUGUCCCAUCUAUCCACCCUCCAGUCCUUUCAAUCCAUCCUCCCUUUCAUUCAUCUCUGCAGACUCCUAUAUACACACCCAGCCUUCACUCUUCCACUUAACCAUCAGUCCAUCUGCUUCCCAUCUGUCCUUUUAUCCUUCUGCUUCCUUAUUCUUUGACUCCCUUACCCUUUCUCUCUUUCAUACAUUCAUCCUUCCUUUUAUUCAAAAAGUGCUCAUCGGGCGCCUGUCUCGCAAGCACAAGGUCCCGAGUUCUAUCUCCAUUACCAAAAAAAAAAAAAAAA
rnacentral:lncRNA from 1 species